CAGCAGCCGCGGUAAUACCGGCGGCCCGAGUGGCGGUCACUAUUAUUGGGCUUAAAACGUCCGUAGCCGGGUUGGGAAGUCCUCCGGGAAAUCUGGCCGCUUAACGGUCAGAAUGCCGGAGGAUACUCCCAGCCUAGGGAGCGGGAGAGGCCGAGGGGAUUCCCGGAGUAGGGGGGAAAUCCUAUAAUCCCGGGAGGACCACCUGUGGCGAAGGCGCUCGGCGGGAACGCGUCCGACGGUGAGGGACGAAGGCCAGGGGAGCAAACCGGAUUAGAUACCCGGGUAGUCCUGGCUGUAAACGAUGCGGACUUUGUGUCGGACAAGCUAUGAGCUUGUCCGGUGCCGGAGGGAAACCGUUAAGUCCGCCGCCUGGGGAGUACGGCCGCAAGGCUGAAACUUAAAGGAAUUGGCGGG
rnacentral:rRNA from 1 species